rnacentral:rRNA from 1 species
GAUGAACGCUGGCGGCGUGCCUAAUACAUGCAAGUCGAGCGAACGGACGAGAAUCUUGCUUCUCUGAUGUUAGCGGCGGACGGGUGAGAAACACGUGGAUAACCUACCUAUAAGACUGGGAUAACUUCGGGAAACCGGAGCUAAUACCGGAGGAUAUUUUGAACCGCAUGGUUCAAAAGUGAAAGACGGUCUUGCUGUCACUGAUAGAUGGAUCCGCGCUGCAUUAGCUAGUUGGUAAGGUAACGGCUUACCAAGGGAACGAUGCAUAGCCGACCUGCGCGGGUGGUCGGCCACCCGGGAGGUGAGACACGCACCAGGGUCCUACGGGAGGGAGCAGUAGGGAAUCGUCCGCAGUGGGCGAAAGCAUGACGGAGCAACGGCGCGUGAGUGAUAGAGGUGCUCGGAUCGUAAAACUCUGUUAUUAGGGAAGAACAGAUGUGUAAGUAACUGUGCACAGCUUGACGGUACCUAAUCAGAAAGCCACGGCUAACUACGUG